CAUCUUCGACGAGGCACUACACGAGGACGUGGGUGAGUACAGAAGGGAGCACCCUGGCCUCACCCUCCUACAGUACGUAGAUGACAUCCUGAUUGCUGCCGACACGGCCAAAGACUGAGCGAGGGACCCAGGACCUGCUGGCUACCCUGGGGGCCUUAGGGUACCGGGCAUCCACGAAGAAGGCUCAGAUAUCCAGGGAGAGGGUGCUCCACUACAUGACUGUGCGGGAAUCCUGGAACAAGUACAUGGAUUCCGGACGGACCUGACCGACCGGCCCCUCCCUGAUGCCACUUGGUUCACUGAUGGCAGCAGCUUUGUGUGAGAUGGACACAGGUAUGCGGGUGCAGCGGUGGUCACCGAAACGGACACCGUAUGGGCGGAGGCUCUACCCUCUGGAACAUCAGCCCAGCGAGCAGAGCUCAUAGCCCUCACCAAGGCGCUGAUGCUGGGAGCUAGAAAACGGCUUAACAACUACCGGAUUUGGGAGACCCAGUUUUACUAGACCAGCCCAAAUACUCCCAGGAGGAGUUACAGUGGAUCAAGAAACUCCCCAUGGCCCAGGAGAUAAAGGGAUGGUGGUAUACACCUAACAAGGAGCUCGUGCUGCCAGACCAGCUCGGAGUCUCAAUAUUAGAGCACAUGCAUCGGUCUACUCACAUGGGGGCCC